rnacentral:rRNA from 1 species
GACAGAGGGUGCAAACGUUGUUCGGAAUUACUGGGCGUAAAGCGAGUGUAGGCGGUUCGGUAAGUCGGAUGUGAAAGCCCCGGGCUCAACCCGGGAAGUGCACUCGAUACUGCCGAGCUAGAGUAUCGGAGAGGUUGGUGGAAUUCUCGGUGUAGAGGUGAAAUUCGUAGAUAUCGAGAGGAACACCGGUGGCGAAGGCGGCCAACUGGACGAAUACUGACGCUGAGACUCGAAAGCGUGGGGGAGCAAACAGG